UACGUAGGGCGCAAGCGUUGUCCGGAAUUAUUGGGCGUAAAGAGCUCGUAGGCGGUUUGUCACGUCGGAUGUGAAAGCCCGGGGCUUAACCCCGGGUCUGCAUUCGAUACGGGCAGACUGGAGUGUGGUAGGGGAGAUCGGAAUUCCUGGUGUAGCGGUGAAAUGCGCAGAUAUCAGGAGGAACACCGAUGGCGAAGGCAGAUCUCUGGGCCGUGAACUGACGCUGAGGAGCGAAAGCGUGGGGAGCGAACAGG
rnacentral:rRNA from 1 species